GGAGAAUCCAAGAAUAACUUUGGUAAGAGAUUUUUGGAAAAGAAAAUAAACCUACAGUUAAAAGAAAAAAGAAAACAAUGAAAAUAGAAGCUGAGCUUAGCUGAGGAUAUGAAUAACGAAAAGCAACCACCUUACCGCAAAACAACUCUAAGAAGUAGGAUUAUCAUCACUCAAUUUACAGGCAUCCAUGUCCUCCAGGAUAUAAAGGAAGAAGUUGAGGGAUGGAUGCAGAGUAUACUAUUCUCCACCAUUACAAAUUGGGCACCUUUGCUUUUGAAUGAGUGACCACAGCCCUGGAAACUUGUAUGCUUUGCUAAUUGAGGGCAGAUGAGCCUCAGGUCAAUCCCCCAUCAAUUAUCCACUCAACAACAAUAAAAUGCUAACUUGUAUGCCCUAACCCAGUUUGUUUAAUUAUUUGGAAGUGAUUUUGUAUCUAAACAACCCACACACUGGACAUAAGCAAUCCUGGAUAAAAUAGAAGUUUAUUAAACUCAUCUUCAUAUUUACAUAAAUUAUUUUUUAAAAAGACACCAUCUAGGCCAAGACCAGUUUUAUUUUUCCCUUCAAAGAAUAAUGUUGAGGAUCAAUUUCUCCAGCUUAACAUCACCAGCCUUGGCAGCAGCUCAUAUUUGGAAUAUAAAUGAUGUCAUCUGGUUGGCCUUUUCCCAUCACAAACAGUAAAUCUCUAAAUCUGGAGAGAUCUUUUAUUUGGUUACACAUAUUGUACAGCAUCAAGGGGUUAGAACACAUGUGCUAGAGAUUAUUAAAAUCAUCUGGAGGAGAAUGGCUUAUUAUUGGAAAGCCCAGAACUUAUGACCCUUUCAUGCCUGGUGUCUCCAUCAACUCUUCUUUCGCUCCUACCUUUUCAAAGAAAUAAUUGUGGCCGAUUGGCCCAUGAUUAUUUGCAUACUAAGGUUUUUCUGGUGCACCAUGCCUCUUCUCUGGAAAAAGAUAUCCCUAGCAGAGUAUAGAGAAAGGGGAACAGGAUUAGGAAUCAGAAAGCCAGUCACAGCAACAUGCCAAAAUAUGACUUUGGGUAACACAUUUGAACUCUACUAAUUUCACUCUCUCAUCUAUAAAAUGAAAAUAAUAAUAACCAGCCUCACAGGAAUUUUUUAGAUAGAUAGUUUUUUAAAAAGUCAUUGAAUAUCUGUUUAUCACUGUAUAAUUUGCUAAAAUCUUUCAAUUACAUUAGCAUUAGUCUUACCUAGCACAAGAAAGACACUCAACAGAUAUUUGUUGAAUAGCAUGUAAAUUGGUGAUAUUAUAGUUUGAUGGAUUCUGAGUCGUUAAGGUAUCUAUCACACCUCUGAACUUAGUUUUCUUUAUUUAUAAUGUGUAUUCAACUGUAUCUCUUUUUAGGGUUGUUGUAAGAGAUAAAGAAAAUAACAUACAUGAAGUAUCAGUUUCGGGCACUUUGGUGUGUACUUGAGAAAGAGGUUUCCUUUUCUCUGAUCGCUUCUUCUUUCAGAGCUUCAUUCUUCUCAUUCAACAGAAUUGGUCAUAAUUAUAACAUUCUACUUGUUGAGGAGAUAGCUGUGGGGCAAAGAGAACAGGGGGGCCAAGCUUUGGUCCUAAUUUUCCAUCUUCCCAGUUGUGUGAACUUUGACAAUUUGGGGGAGUCUGUUUCCCCAUUUGAAAAAUAAGGAGCUUGUCUAGAUCUGAAGUUCCCAAAUUUUUGAAGUUUAUAGAGCAAACAAACAAAUAAACAAACAACAACAACAACAACAACAAAAGACCAGUACCAACCAGGAGCCUAACAUAACAUGGUCAAUUUUUUGAUCUGAGAAAUAGAUUUUUGAAAAAUAACUGUCACUUACCAUUACAAUCAUUUCAAAUUAAAGGACAAGGAACUCCAAAAAAGAAAAAAAAGAAAAAUUAUGAAAUAUAAGACAUGACUCUAAAAUGAUUACAUUAACCUCAUGGGGAAAGAUGCUGAAUCGUCUUAUUGUCCUUAUUUUUUUCUCAUUUUUCCACAGACCUGUGAAAACUUGUUGUGGACCAACAUGGGUCUUCAGAGUAGUACUUGGGAACCUGUACUGUUCUGUAUUGUGGACCAACAUGGGUCUUCAGAGUAGCACUUGGGAACCACUGGGAUGCAUGACAUGGAAGGGCUCUUCUAGCACUAUGUCCUGUGAUUCUAUCAUAAUUCCACCAUGGUGAAAAGCUGGGAUACUUAAACAACAGUUUGUUUAGGUGAAAUCAGUAAAACAAUGAUCUGAUUCAGCUAAGAAGCUGAUCCCUGAAGUCAUUUUGCUGAACUGAAUGACUCUAGAUCUUGAUAGGAAGUAUAAUUUAGUCAAAACAAUCUAAAUUGUUAUGUGUGGAUUGACACAUAUGAGUUGUUCCCGCAGGUCUUCAAAAUACUUCCUUGCCCCUAAUGAGGCUGACUCAGGCUUUGUUCCCCACCAACUAUAAAUUGAUAAGUAUCACACUUGUACCUACCUACAUCAAAAUGAGAGAGAUAUGUGAGUGAGCCAAACAUAUCCAAAGCAUUCCUAAUUCAGGCACUAUGUGCUCACCCUGAGGUUAGCUUCUCUGACACCUUCCACUCUCUAAUCUUGAGCCAAAAUAUGUCUCUACACUCUACUGUGGUGAUCUCAAAGUCCCUGUAUGAAUGCCUCAUAUUUUAUCACCAAAAUUCUAAAUAGAGACUCUCUGUUUCAUGGUUAGCACUCAUUUCUACCAAGCUUGAUCAUCUGAGGUGGACCAAAUUAGAAAUAGGCAAGCAAAAUAGAGGUAGGAGAAGCUAUUAAUACAGGUCAGGAAGAGAUUAGUUUUGGCUGGGUGCUGUGGCUCACAGCUGUAAUCCUAGCAUUUUGGGAAGCUGAGGUGGGCGGAUCACUUGAGGUCAGGAGUUUGAGACCAGCCUGGCCAACAUGGUGAAUUUCCAUCUCAACUAAAAAUAGAAAAAUCAGCUGGGCAUAGUGGAAGGCACCUGUAAUCUCAGCUACUUGGCAGGCUGAGGCAGGAGAAUCACUUGAACCCAGGAGGCAGAAGUUGCAGUGAGCUGAGAUUGCACCACUGCACUCCAUCCUGGGCAACAGAGUGAGACUCCAUCUCAAAAAUAAAUAAAUAAACAAAUAUAGACAGGUCAGGAGUUGUGGGUUGUGGCUUUGCUUGACUUCACAGAAGAAAGAGAGAAAAAUCAAACAGAACUAACUGUAAGCUACUGAGGACAAUAAUAGAUGUUCAUAUCUUUGGUUCUAAGUCAUCAAGAAAAGUUUAAACUAUGUACAAGAACCUUCUCAAGGAAGCAGAUAAUUCAUUGAGAUAGAUGCUUGGGGGUGAGGGCAAACCUCAGCUAUCAGGAAAUUCAUCUCAAGUUAGCAAACGUGAAUUCUCCUGUGAUCCUAGGGUAAUGAAGUAGUAACAGCAAUAGAAACAACCAUAAUAAUGGCUGGCUACUGCAUUGUACUCUGCCUCUUAGGAGUACUUCCAUUUUCUCAUUUAAUAUUCAGAUCAACCCCAUGAGGAACAAAUAAUAAUUUUUAUUAUCCACUCAUUUCUCCAAGUGAGGAAAUCAAAGCUCAGCUUGGUUAAGUAGCUUGCCAAGACAGCAGAGCUAGUCAGUGGCAGAGUAAGAAUGCAAACCCUAGUCUUCUAACUUGAAGCCCAGUGCAUUUCCCACCCUCUGAUCUUCUCUCAUCCUUAUAAAUAGCCAUAAGACUAAGUAGUUCAAAAAUAUCUUCUUUCUGGUUCUCAGGCCCAUUACAAAUGCCACUUGCCCUGGGUAGGAAAAUAAAGCCCAAGCUCUUUGCUGGACUAUGUGCUAAGUCCUUGGCGCCCAGAAAUAACCUCCUGGAGACUAUGGGCCUUAUAUUUACCGCAAAGCAGUGGGUAAAUAACUAGUUGGUGUUUUAGUGUUUUGUGGUCACUUAAUCUGUUGUGUUGCUUCCCAAGACUCUGAAGGUUUCCUUUUUCAGUUAAUUCUUAUUUACGUUUCUGAGGUCUGUGUUGUUUUGGGUUUGGUUCAUUGGAUGUUUUUCUUGGAAUGUGUUGCCAUUGGCUUCAGGAUGUUCCUGCUCUGCUAUUUCAUGGAAUUUUCCCCGAGUGUGGAUUGCUAUGUAUUUCUUCGGGGCAGUGAGCCAAGGCAGUGCUGGUAUGUAAUCUGUUCCUCUGGCCAGAAGACUUCUUGUCACCCAUCCACAUGGUGCUUGGUUGUAUUUCUCCACUGAUAAUUCCCCUCCAUCUGUUAAUGUGCAG
rnacentral:lncRNA from 1 species